rnacentral:rRNA from 1 species
GUUUGAUCAUGGCUCAGGAUGAACGCUAGCGGCAGGCUUAAUACAUGCAAGUCAAGGGGGUAGCAAUACAACCGGCGCACGGGUGAGUAACGCGUACACAACAUACCAUAUACUGGAGUAUAGCUUUGGGAAACUGAAGGUAAUCCUCCAUAACAUUGCGAGAGGGCAUCUGAUUGCAAUUAAAGUUUCGGCGGUAUAUGAUUGGUGUGCGUUUGAUUAGCUAGUUGGUAGGGUAACGGCCUACCAAGGCGACGAUCAAUAGCUGGCGUGAGAGCGCGACCAGCCACACUGGAACUGAGACACGGUCCAGACUCCUACGGGAGGCAGCAGUAGGGAAUAUUGGACAAUGGAGGAAACUCUGAUCCAGCCAUGCCGCGUGAUAGAUGAAGGCCCUCUGGGUUGUAAAUAUCUUUUAUCUGGGAAGAAACACUCCUAUUCUUAGGAACUUGACGGUACCAGAGGAAUAAGCACCGGCUAACUCCGUG